UUAUAUAAUAAUGUUUUUAUUAAACUUACCAUAAAUUAAUUAUUAAUGAUAUUUAUUCUUUCUGUAAUUAAAAAUUACGGAAUUGCUUAAUGUGUCUAAAAUAUAUAUGACGAUUUUGAAUAAUAAAGAUUUGAUAAAGAAAUUUGUAUAGCCUAUAUUAUUUUUUAAUUUGAACUUAUUAAAAUAAAUUAACCAACCACAUUAACCAUAUAAAAAAAAUUAGAUUUUUCGGUAUAUGUUAUAUUUUGAAUUUUUUACGACUAAAAAUUACUAAAACUGUUAAAAUUCUCAAAUUGAAAAUUUUUGUGAUCCAUAGUUUAAUUUUUUUUUGUUAUGACAAGGUACAAAUGAUUACAAGAUCAUAUAAGUAAGAAGUCUCAUUUAAUAAAUAUUAAGUUUAAAAGAUACAUAUAUAUAUUAUCUUUAAAUAAAUAUGUACCAGAUAAAAAUACAUAAAUAUUUUAAUACCUAAAUUUGUUUUGAACAAUUUUUCUUUUGAUAAAAGCUUUGAAAUAAUAUUGAUAACUUAAUAUUAAAAUUUUUAACUCUAUAUUGAAUUUUUUAAAAAAUUAUAAAUUAGUAAAACUAUUAAACAUUCUAGAAUGAAAAUUUUGUUAUCAGUGAUUUAAAGUUUUUCUUAUAAGAAGAUACAAAAGAUCAAUAACAAUUUUCACCAUUCUCGGACUUGACCGAUUCAAAAUAUAACACAAUUGUUUAAGAUAAUAAGAUAAUAUACUAUAAAAAUAAUACAUAAGCGUGUGGGUCUUCUCAAAUAUGGUCCCACUAAAAUUUUAUAAUAAAAAUUAAUAGAUAAAUUUUGUAUAAAUGUAAACAAAACAUUAUUUUGUUUUCACCAUGAACUGAAUCGCUAAUUAUUCUUAGCCAUUCACAACAUUUUGAUAUUGUUUUAUCAUUUUAUUUGUAAAACACAUUUGCAUUAUAUAAUCCAUAUCUUAUAUACAUCAAAUUAUUUAACAAGAACAAGUUGAAAGAGAAAGUUUAGAUUAAUUAAUAUAUAAGCCAAGAAUAAAAUGAUUUUUUCACUACAAAAAAAAUAGUGAAUUGAAUCACUUAAGUUGUAUCAUAAAAAUAAGUGAUACUAUUUUACAUUACUUAUUCUCAAAUGAAACAAAUAUCCAUAAUUUAAAAUCAGUUAUAACAAUUGACGUUAUUAUGAAUUGAUUUAACAUCAGUUUAAUUAAUUGAUAUAAUUUUUACUAAUUUGUAUCAUUUUAACGGAACUGAUAUUAUUUUAAAAUUUUAAAUCGCUUAAAUAACUGAUACAUGUGUUUAUUUUUGGCUAACGUCAUUUGUUAGAAUGUUACAAAACUUACGUCAAUAAAUAACUGAUACAAACAAAAUAGAUUUUCUUUUUGUUAUUUUACCUUAGUUUGCAUCAUUUAAAAUAUUUGUUCUAUUAUAAAACAUUUUAAAAAAUAUCAGCUAAACUUACGUGAAAUUAGUUACGAUUUCUGCGAUUUUUUUUUAUGGUUUUAAUUUAUAAUUGACCCAUGUUCUUCUAUAACUGCUUCAUGAUCUCAAAAAAGUCACAUUAUCUGUCAAUAUUCUCACUCAUCUGUUCGUGUUGCUUCUCAAUUUCCUCAACUUUUUUAUAAGUUCCAAAUUUAUUGUUCUAGGCUACUUGAUAAGAAAAAUUCACACAUAUGAUAUAAUCAUGAUGAUAAUGAUUAUAUUUUUUUCUUAUGCAGGGUUUGAAAGUAAAGAAGAAUCUGCUAACUGGACGAAUCUGAUAAAAAAAUCUGAAAAGAAUUCAUUCUUUUCUGUGGCAAAUGAAGAAUCACUUGCAUAUUUAAAGGAGUAGAAGUCUCGGGAAAAAACAGAUGAUGGAAAAUUCUUCAAUAAUCAAUUGAGUUUCAGGCUACAAAUGGAGACCGAAGAUGAAGAUAAAAAAAGAAGAAUUCUUUUUAAUUUACAAUCCUUUUCUCUAUAUGAAUUCAAGUUCUUUCAUCUUCAUGCUUUUUGUGGAGUCUAUGUAUUUUUUUUCUUGUUCUUCAGAUUAUCGUCAAUGAAAAAUAGUUUUUGGAAAAGCA